AGGCCCAAGUCAUCCCUUAAGCCACAACUACGGUACAUCCCAAAUAACCCUCCCUACGGAACGUGAACGACGCUCCUCAAUCGCUCCCACGACUCCGUCGCGCCGGAGUUAAUCGCCGGCGGCGGCGGAAUUCUCACUCACCUAACUCAGAUCCUCAACCUUGUCGUUGCCUCCCUUCACUUGUUAACGGUGUCGUGGCGGAAAAAACACGAAAUACGGUGGAUGCUUCUCCACCCCCUGUGAACGAAUUCCAACACUGGCGAACAGGUCGCGGCGCCGCUGACUUAAUCAGUAUCGGUAGGAAUAAUCCAAAUCCGAAAUUGGAUCUCUAAUUCGAAGCUCGCUUCGACUCAUAUUUGUGCAUGCGUAACAUUAUAUAAAAAAACGAGAUUGAGGCUUACCGAUUUGACGUCAUUUGUGAGUUCUCUUGUUCAAUUCAAGUCGUGUCGUUGGUGACGUGCGGAUACCAUAUCCAUUGUUCUUCCUCAAUCGUGCGCAAACAGCAGGAGAUAACGAAAGGUGUCGACGACGGAGAACGAAGGCUCACCAAAUUUUAUCUUCAACUCGAACAGGAUGGCGAUGCUCUGUUGCAGCACCAAUGAAAACCAGUGGCUAGGAUGAAGAUGAGUGGGGACGGAGAGUUCUGGACGUUUUUUCCGAGCCCGGUUCAAGAGAGAAAACUCGUCAAUUUAUAAUGGAUUUUUGUUGCAGGUUGUAGCUGCAUUUGGUCUUGUUAAUUGUAGCAUUUGCUUUUGGCUAUGCGACGCCGUUUGUGGCCUUGAUUUCGCAGUUGUUUGAAGCUGGUAGUUUUGUGCAAUAGCUUUCAUCACCAUUUGUUUUGGCCGACUGUAGCCGUUUGGCUUUCGGAUUUGUUAUCAAUGAAGCGUGGCUUGGUGCAGCAGCGUUUGGUUGCAUCCGUUUUGCUCUUGGAACGGAUGACGGCGUUUGAACGUGUUAGCUGCAUGGAUGUUAUAACCUUGCAACUUUUGAAUGGUUUUGCAGCUCCAAUAUGCACUUGGUUUUGGAAUGUCUUUUUGCGGCUUUUCGGUGGUGUGCCUUUGGCGGCUUGGAUUGAUGAAGAUGAAUUUGGAUAAUAUGUUUUGGAUAAUGAAAUGUGUUAUGGAUGAAAAAAAAGGAUUAUUAAUUGAAAAAUGAAUUAGAAGAAAUGAAGUGAAUAAAAAUGGUUUAUGUGGAUUAAA